rnacentral:pre_miRNA from 7 species
AGUUUUGCAGGUUUGCAUCCAGCUGUAUGAUACUCUGCUGUGCAAAUCCAUGCAAAACUGA